CCUACGGGAGGCAGCAGUGAGGAAUCUUGGUCAAUGGGCGUAAGCCUGAACCAGCCAAGUCGCGUGAAGGAUGAAGGCCCUAUGGUUUGUAAACUUCUUUUAUAGGGGAAUAAAGGUAUCCACGUGUGUCUCUUUGCAUGUACCCUAUGAAUAAGGAUCGGCUAACUCCGUGCCAGCCGCCGCGGUAAUACGGUGGAUACGAGCGUUAUCCGGAUUUAUUGGGUUUAAAGGGUGCGUAGGUUGUUUUUUAAGUCAGCUGUGAAAGUUUGUGGCUCAACCAUAAAAUUGCCGUUGAUACUGGAAGACUUGAGUGUGGUUGAGGUAGGCGGAAUUCGUGGUGUAGCGGUGAAAUGCAUAGAGAUCACGCAGAGCUCCGAUUGCGAAGGCAGCUUACUAAGCUAUAACUGACACUGAAGCACGAAAGCGUGGGGAUCAAACAGGAUUAGAUACCCUGGUAGUC
rnacentral:rRNA from 1 species